rnacentral:rRNA from 1 species
AUUGAACGCUGGCGGCAUGCUUUACACAUGCAAGUCGAACGGUAACAGGGUGCUUGCACCGCUGACGAGUGGCGAACGGGUGAGUAAUGCGUCGGAACGUGCCGAGUAGUGGGGGAUAACGCAUCGAAAGGUGUGCUAAUACCGCAUACGUACUGAGGUAGAAAGUGGGGGACCUUCGGGCCUCACGCUAUUCGAGCGGCCGACGUCUGAUUAGCUAGUUGGUGAGGUAAAGGCUCACCAAGGCGACGAUCAGUAGCGGGUCUGAGAGGAUGGGCCGCCACACUGGGACGGGGACACGGCCCAGACUCCUACGGGAGGCAGCAGUGGGGAAUUUUGGACAAUGGGCGCAAGCCUGAUCCAACCAUGCCGCGUGUCUGAAGAAGGCCUUCGGGUUGUAAAGGACUUUUGUCCGGGAGCAAAUACCCAGUGCUAAUAACGCUGGGGGCUGAGAGUACCGGAAGAAUAAGCACCGGCUAACUACGUGCCAGCCGCCGCCGUAACAC